GAUGAACGCUGGCGGCGUGCCUAAUACAUGCAAGUCGAGCGAACAGAUGAGGAGCUUGCUCCUCUGACGUUAGCGGCGGACGGGUGAGUAACACGUGGAUAACCUACCUGUAAGACUGGGAUAACUUCGGGAAACCGGAGCUAAUACCGGAUAAUAUAUUGAACCGCAUGGUUCAAUAGUGAAAGACGGUUUUGCUGUCACUUAUAGAUGGAUCCGCGCCGCAUUAGCUAGUUGGUAAGGUAACGGCUUACCAAGGCGACGAUGCGUAGCCGACCUGAGAGGGUGAUCGGCCACACUGGAACUGAGACACGGUCCAGACUCCUACGGGAGGCAGCAGUAGGGAAUCUUCCGCAAUGGGCGAAAGCCUGACGGAGCAACGCCGCGUGAGUGAUGAAGGUCUUCGGAUCGUAAAACUCUGUUAUUAGGGAAGAACAAAUGUGUAAGUAACUAUGCACGUCUUGACGGUACCUAAUCAGAAAGCCACGGCUAACUACGUG
rnacentral:rRNA from 1 species